rnacentral:rRNA from 1 species
GACGAACGCUGGCGGCGUGCUUAACACAUGCAAGUCGAGCGGUAAGGCUCCUUCGGGGGUACACGAGCGGCGAACGGGUGAGUAACACGUGAGUAAUCUGCCCUUCACUUCGGGAUAACCAUCGGAAACGGUGGCUAAUACCGGAUAUGACUCGUCCCUGCAUGGGGGUGGGUGGAAAGUUUGUUCGGUGGAGGAUGUGCUCGCGGCCUAUCAGCUUGUUGGUGAGGUAACGGCUCACCAAGGCUUCGACGGGUAGCCGGCCUGAGAGGGUGACCGGCCACACUGGGACUGAGACACGGCCCAGACUCCUACGGGAGGCAGCAGUGGGGAAUAUUGGACAAUGGGCGGAAGCCUGAUCCAGCAACGCCGCGUGAGGGAUGACGGCCUUCGGGUUGUAAACCUCUUUCAGCUCCGACGAAGCGCCCGUGAGGGUGGUGACGGUAGGUGCAGAAGAAGGACCGGCCAACUACGUGCCAGCAGCCGCAGUAAUAC